rnacentral:misc_RNA from 1 species
UCCGGUUUAUCACCGGCGGUUCCCUUAGAGUUCCCGGCUUAACCCGCUGGCAACUAAGGGUAGGGGUUGCGCUCGUUACGGGACUUAACCCAACAUCUCACGACACGAGCUGACGACAGCCAUGCAGCACCUCUCCAGAGACCCCGAAGGGAGAACGGCUUUCACCGUCUGUCCUCUGAAGUUCAAACCCAGGUAAGGUUCUUCGCGUUGCGUCGAAUUAAACCACAUGCUCCACCGCUUGUGCGGGCCCCCGUCAAUUCCUUUGAGUUUCAUUCUUGCGAACGUACUCCCCAGGUGGGGUGCUUAAUGCGUUAGCUACGGCACUGGGGGGGUCGAUACCCCCAACACCUAGCACCCAUCGUUUACAGCGUGGACUAC